ACACAUUUUGAACAAUGAAGCCCAAGUCGAUAGUGGUCAACCUGAAAAAGUUAGAAGUAAUCAAAAUCAAAACGAAAAAGAAAAUGGCGCCGAAGAGCUUGAAGAACCGGAAAUAAGGGAUACAGUAGUUUCCAAUAAUUCGGGACCAACGGUUCCUCAAAUAGGAAGUGCAGAAGAACGAAUCGAAAAGGAAAAGAAUUGUCCUAAGAACAAUGGAAGAAAAAGCAGGUCAAAAUUCUUUGAUAAGCCAGAAGAUUUUGAGGAAUGGAAUUGCACGUAAAAAGACAUAAGGCUCUGCACAAAAUUGAACACAAUUGAAGCAAUGGUAGAGUAUAUUUGCUCCCAUUUAAAUGGAUUAUGACAACCUCAAGAAGAUGAUGAUGAAGACGUGGGAUUGAGUGAAUUCCC